UACAGAGGUCCCAAGCGUUGUUCGGAUUCAUUGGGCGUAAAGGGUGCGUAGGCGGCUCGGUAAGUCGGGUGUGAAAUCUUGGAGCUUAACUCCGAAACUGCAUUCGAUACUGCCGUGCUUGAGGACUGGAGAGGAGACUGGAAUUUACGGUGUAGCGGUGAAAUGCGUAGAUAUCGUAAGGAAGACCAGUGGCGAAGGCGGGUCUCUGGACAGUUCCUGACGCUGAAGCACGAAGGCCAGGGGAGCAAACGGG
rnacentral:rRNA from 1 species